rnacentral:lncRNA from 1 species
CAAUCACUGGCAUGAUGAUGAUUUUAUUGAUAAGAACAGAAAAUAAGUUUUAGCAGCAUUUUUGAAUUAGGUAGAUAAUCCAUAUUGACAUGUUUUGAAUCAUAUAGAUAGGAUAAGUGAGAAUAAACUGACCAUGAUUCUAUAUGAGAUUGCUAUUGUCGGCAAAAAAAAUCGAUGGUGAGAUGUCAUAAAGAUGAAUCUGAAAAAUAUUAAUAUUAAUGUGAAAUAUGAUACCAGAACUUAUUCAAGAGAGAGUAAUUUGGAGAAAAGAGAUAAUGGUGUAAUGUUGAAAAAUAUAGUCAGUUAUAAAAAAUGAUGAUGUAUAGGCAGUUCCUGGGUUAUGUAGGUGGAUCAUUCUAUGAAACUCUAUAUAAAGUCAAAACAAAUGUUAAGAGCACAUAUUAUACAGUACUAGUGUGUCACAAUGAUGUAACACCAAAAAUAGUUAUAUUAAAGAAUAAACAUACAAGUCGUGUGAUAAAACAGUUGCUUACUGUCUUGAAGGAUCCAAUUCAAUUUUGAGUCCCACACUUAGUUUUCCAGGAAGGAUCCAAUGUUGGGCUUGGCUAAUUAUCAAAAAAUAAUCCUAUUUAAGUUGGGGAUUGCCUGCAUAUAGGUUAAUGCAUAAACACUGAUUCCUGAACUUUUUCUUUUCAGUCAUAACUUCUGGAAUGUAAAUUUGUUGGCCACCAUACAAAAAUCUAU